UGAGCCUCGGUCGCUAUGACGACCGCCCUAGAAGAUUCUAACUCUCGCGAAGGCUCAUGGGAUGAGAGAAGACGAUGCAAAGACAUUACCCUCAAACUUGUGGCAAUGGAAAUGACAAUGAAUGAUGUUCAACAGCUCUAUUACUGCUUUAGCUCAAUGAGUCUAACUCCAAGACAAGGUUGAACAAUGAAAACAAAUAUUGGAUUGGCUACCACGAGUUGCUUCCUAGAGAAUGAUUUACUGAAAAUGGACUCUAUGGGCGAUGGCCUUCCUGUAAUUUGGAGCUUUCUGAAAAAUGAGUUUCUAGAUAACAGAUACCAUACCCAUAUGGUUUUAACUGGGUUAUUAUUUUAUUAUUAACAUGUAUUUAUAAAGUGUGUGUUUGUACACUUUUGUGAACUGUGUGAAACACGAGAGGAAAGCACACUCUAAUCACAGUGUGUUAAUAUGGUUGUUGGGGAAGGAUAGUAGUGAGACAUAGGAGCAGUACCUUAAGGACCUUUGAUGGUUCAACCUUUUGACCAUGCCAAUAUUCAUGAUAUCUGCUUCAACUUUCACCCAGUCACCACUUUUUUCACCUGUUAUCUGUGCUAAAUUGAAAUUAAGGACUUUAGACAUUAGCUCCACCUUCAGACCUCAAAUGUUACACUGGUAAGGAGAGGCAGAACAUACAGUAUGGAGGAGGACAAUCUAUGUUAUCAUGGGUUUGUGUUGUGAAAUAACUUUCCCAUAGUGUACAAGCUGUGACUCAUUUUGCACAAAUUACAUUUACAAAUACAAGCAUCUAAUCUCUUCUCGCCUACACAUCUGAAUAAUCUGUAACCUUGGGGAAUUAUUUAACUUUGAUACUCUCAGUGCAAUAAAGUAAUAGUUUAACUCUU